rnacentral:rRNA from 1 species
GACGAACGCUGGCGGCGUGCUUAACACAUGCAAGUCGAACGAAGUGGCGAACGGGUGAGUAACGCGUAAUCAACCUGCACUUCAGAGGGGGAAAAAAGUUGGAAACGACUGCUAAUACCGCAUACUGAAGGAGGGGAUUGCGACUGAUUAGCUAGUUGGAGGGGUAACGGCCGACCAAGGCGAUGAUCAGUAGCCGGCCUGAUAGGAUGAACUGCCACAUUGGGACUGAGACACGGCCCCGACUCCCACGGGAGGCAGCAGUGGGGAAUCUGCCGCCAUGGACGAAAGUCUGACGGAGCAACGCCGCGUGAUUGAUGACGGCCUUCGGGUUGUAAAGCUCUGUUAAUCGGGACGCGGUACCGGAAUAGAAAGCCACGGCUAACUACGUGCCAGCAGCCGCGGUAAUUC